rnacentral:lncRNA from 1 species
CUGCCACGAAGUAUCACAUUUUUUUUAAACACAGAGAUACAUCCAUAACGAGAUGAUGUUUUAUUCAUUAGAACAUGCUCUCACAUACACACAAGACACAACAACGACAAUAACAAGUUUUUUAGCCGACGGUUUAUCAGCCGAAGCAGGGCACAACGUAGCCACUAUCGCCUCCCGUAGAGUUAUCAGCUUCCUUUCCGAAGACAGGCCAAUGGAGGUGGGAGUUAUCAGCCUUUCCGAAGCACGGCACAACGUAGCCACUAUCGCCCCCCAUAGAGUUAUCAGUUGCCUUUCCGAAGACAGGCCAAUUGCAGACGGAGUUAUCAGCUUCCUUUCCGAAGACAGGCCAAUUGCGGACGGAGUUAUCAGCUUCCUUUCCGAAGACAGGCCAAUUGCGGACGGAGUUAUCAGCUUCCUUUCCGAAGACAGGCCAAUGGAGGGGGGAGUUAUCAGCCUUUCCGAAGACAGGCCAAUGGAGGUGGGAGUUAUUAGCCUUUCCGAAGACAGGCCAAUUGCGGACGGAGUUAUCAGCUUCCUUUCCGAAGACAGGCCAAUGGAGGUGGGAGUUAUUAGCCUUUCCGAAGACAGGCCAAUUGCGAACGGAGUUAUCAGCCUUUCCGAAGACAGGCCAAUGGAGGUGGGAGUUAUUAGCCUUUCCGAAGACAGGCCAAUUGCGGACAUUAUCAGCCUUUCCGAAGCAGGGCACAACGUAGCCACUAUCGCCUCUCGUAGAGUUAUCAUCAGCUGCCUUUCCGAAGACAGGCCAAUUGCUGACGGAGUUAUCAGCCUUUCCGAAGACAGGCCAAUUGCGGACGGAGUGAUCAGCCUUGGCCGACGGCAAGGAAACGGUAGGGGCUGUAGGAACCCUAAAGGUGGAAGCAAGUGCAAAGGCAGAAGAAGCCAUUGAUAUGAUAGUGUUUUUUUCAAGUUAUGGAAGAUUGGUGGGUGAAGUGUUGGAGUGUUCAUGUUGCGGUAUUUAUAGCCGUCUUAGAGUGCAAUACAUUUCAAAGGAUAUUAAUUUUUUUUUAAAAACCUCUUUCUUACUAGUAUGUUU